rnacentral:rRNA from 1 species
GACGAACGCUGGCGGCGUGCCUAAUACAUGCAAGUAGAACGCUGAAGAGAGGAGCUUGCUCUUCUUGGAUGAGUUGCGAACGGGUGAGUAACGCGUAGGUAACCUGCCUGGUAGCGGGGGAUAACUAUUGGAAACGAUAGCUAAUACCGCAUGAAAUUCAUUGUCGCAUGAUAAUUAAUUGAAAGAUGCAACUGCAUCACUACCAGAUGGACCUGCGUUGUAUUAGCUAGUUGGUGAGGUAACGGCUCAUCAAGGCGACGAUACAUAGCCGACCUGAGAGGGUGAUCGGCCACACUGGGACUGAGACACGGCCCAGACUCCUACGGGAGGCAGCAGUAGGGAAUCUUCGGCAAUGGGGGGAACCCUGACCGAGCAACGCCGCGUGAGUGAAGAAGGUUUUCGGAUCGUAAAGCUCUGUUGUAAGUGAAGAACGGGUGUGAGAGUGGAAAGUUCACACUGUGACG